rnacentral:misc_RNA from 1 species
AACUUUUAGCAAUGGAUCUCUUGGUCUCGCAUCGAUUAAGAACGCAGCGAAAUGCGAUAAGUAAUGUGAAUUGCAGAAUUCAAUGAAUCAUCGAAUCUUUGAACGCCUCUUGCGCUCCUUGGUAUUUCGAGGAGCAUGCCUGUUUGAGUGUCCUUCGACUUGUCAACCGCAUCAAUUGCGAUGGGGCUUGGAUGUGGGGGUUCUUUGCAGGCUCUCUCUUUCAUAAGAGGUCGGCUCCCCUGAAAUGCAUUAGUGGUAUCUGAGCAGAACUACUACCGUCAGGUGUGAUAAAUUAUCUAUGCCUUUGGGUAUGCUGCAUGAACAGAUUGUGCUGCUGAUAGAGAUAUGGGAAAUUGUUUGACGAAUUUGACCUCAAAUCAGGUAGGACUACCCGCUGAACUUAAGCAUAUCAAUAAGCGGAGGCU